rnacentral:snRNA from 1 species
GUGCUCACUUCGGCAGCACAUAUGCUAAAAUUGGAAUGAUACAGAGAAGAUUAGCGUGGCCCCUGAGCAAGGAUGACACGCAAAUUCAUGAAGCGUUCCAUAUUUUU